GUAGUAGGUAUGGAGAAGCCAAGGGAGGCACUGAGCCUCUCCUGUUCCUAGAACAAGUUAGGCUCCUGUUCCUUCACCCACCUUUCUUCUUGUCUAGCUCCCUACUUCUGUGAGUUAGCAUGUCGGAAGGGUGGGGCAGGGAGAGUAGGUCCCUGGUUCUCCAGGUCCUAGGGAUCCAUGCCUUCCAGUAUGUCAUCUAUGGAACUGCCUCUUUCUUCUUCCUUUAUGGGGCCCUCCUGCUGGCUGAGGGCUUCUACACCACCGGCGCAGUCAGGCAGAUCUUUGGCGACUACAAGACCACCAUCUGCGGCAAGGGCCUGAGCGCAACGGUAACAGGGGGCCAGAAGGGGAGGGGUUCCAGAGGCCAACAUCAAGCUCAUUCUUUGGAGCGGGUGUGUCAUUGUUUGGGAAAAUGGCUAGGACAUCCCGACAAGUUUGUGGGCAUCACCUAUGCCCUGACCGUUGUGUGGCUCCUGGUGUUUGCCUGCUCUGCUGUGCCUGUGUAUAUUUACUUCAACACCUGGACCACCUGCCAGUCUAUUGCCUUCCCCAGCAAGACCUCUGCCAGUAUAGGCAGUCUCUGUGCUGAUGCCAGAAUGUAUGGUGUUCUCCCAUGGAAUGCUUUCC
rnacentral:sRNA from 1 species